rnacentral:misc_RNA from 1 species
GUUCUCGGCAACACUUCCAGAAAAUAAUGUUGUAUCUUGAGAGACCAAGCCAAUGUUUCUCCUUAAACUCUUGAUUCGUAUGCCUCUAAUAUCCAAACCAUCAAUGAGAAUGGAACCUUGUAAAGGAUCAUAUAAGCGAAGAAGGAGUUUUACAAGAGUCGUUUUUCCUCCUCCUGAUGGUCCACAGAGAGCAACUAUUUCUCCAGAUUUAAUGUGUAAGUCCGUGUUUUUCAAUACAAGAGGUCCAUUGUCUCCAUAUCUAAAAGAGACAUUAGAGUAUUUUACUUCUCCAGCAACACAAUCUAAGUCAACAGCAUCAGGGUUCACAAUUU